rnacentral:rRNA from 1 species
GAUGAACGCUGGCGGCGUGCCUAAUACAUGCAAGUCGAGCGAACAGACGAGGAGCUUGCUCCUCUGAUGUUAGCGGCGGACGGGUGAGUAACACGUGGAUAACCUACCUAUAAGACUGGGAUAACUUCGGGAAACCGGAGCUAAUACCGGAUAACAUGUUGAACCGCAUGUUUCAACAGUGAAAGACGGUCUUGCUGUCACUUAUAGAUUGAUCCGCGCCGCAUUAGCUAGUUGGUAAGGUAACGGCUUACCAAGGCAACGAUGCGUAGCCGACCUGAGAGGGUGAUCGGCCACACUGGAACUGAGACACGGUCCAGACUCCUACGGGAGGCAGCAGUAGGGAAUCUUCCGCAAUGGGCGAAAGCCUGACGGAGCAACGCCGCGUGAGUGAAGAAGGUCUUCGGAUCGUAAAACUCUGUUAUUAGGGAAGAACAAAUGUGUAAGUAACUAUGCACGUCUUGACGGUACCUAAUCAGAAAGCCACGGCUAACUACGUG